GAUGAACGCUGGCGGCGUGCCUAAUACAUGCAAGUCGAGCGAACGGACGAGAAGCUUGCUUCUCUGAUGUUAGCGGCGGACGGGUGAGUAACACGUGGAUAACCUACCUAUAAGACUGGGAUAAUUUCGGGAAACCGGAGCUAAUACCGGAUGAUAUUUUGAACCGCAUGGUUCAAAAGUGAAAGACGGUCUUGCUGUCACUUAUAGAUGGAUCCGCGCUGCAUUAGCUAGUUGGUAAGGUAACGGCUUACCAAGGCAACGAUGCAUAGCCGACCUGAGAGAGGGAUAGGCCACCCGGGAACGGGAACACGGUCCAGACGCCUACGAGAGGCAGCAGUAGGGAAUCUUCCGCAAUGGGCGGAAGCCUGACGGAGCAACGCCGCGUGAGUGAUGAAGGUCUUCGGAUCGUAAAACUCUGUUAUUAGGGAAGAACAUAUGUGUAAGUAACUGUGCACAGCUUGACGGUACCUAAUCAGAAAGCCACGGCUAACUACGUG
rnacentral:rRNA from 1 species